rnacentral:lncRNA from 1 species
GAUCCAGAUCAUUGCUGCAGCUGUUGUCAUGGUGAUCAACUUCCUCUACCUGAGGGACCUGCUCUCCUAUCUCAGUUUUGCCUGUGAUCUCCAGGACCAGCUCCAGAACUGCCGUGUGCACGAUCAGAUCCUGAUCUACUGCACAGGCAUGCGGGGCAUUGCACUGUUCACAGCAACUCUGGGGUUGUGCCUCACUGUUUCCCUGGCAGCAUUUGGAUGCAAAGCUGUCUGUUACCAGAACUCUGAAGAUGAUGUGCCCAUUGUUGCCCUUAGCUCUCAUGAGGUAAAAGCAGAUCCUGAAUGAGAAGGGUGCUCUUCGUGCCACCAGCCUGAGAGACACCACCAGACAGCUCCCUCAUGGAGAUGCCAGUGGUACCCCUGCCCCGAGCAAGUGCUGCUUCACUUGUGAGCAAUAACCCAUGGCAAGGGGUGGGGUCAAGUACCCAAGCAGGGCAGGAUUCUGUGCCGAGGGGCACAGCUAGGCAGACCUUCUCCCAAGUGGAGAUUGGCAGAUUCCCCACCAACCCCUGCCCCGGUGACUAUUCCUACUGGCUUCUCCACCCAUCUGGCAAAUGGCCUGGAUUCUCCCCUGGUCAAUAAUGGCCUCUAUUUCCCCACCUGAGUACAAUUAAAAACUGUACCCAGCUAGGCAAAAAUACAGGCCACUGACCAAACAGACCAGAACACUUUCAUGCCCCUGGGCCCCCUGAGCCACUCAGCUCCAAAGGAAUGAGAAAGGAUGGGGUUAUUCAUGAGAACAAAGUCACUAGACCAUUUGCAGCCCUGGCCUAGGGAGAUGCCCCUACAGUGACUUCAAAGGGAGUCUGCACCCAUUUACACCUGGACUGAAUUUGACUUGUUUUGUCACCACAU